AUUUUCUUUUCCUAAA
rnacentral:sRNA from 1 species